GGGGAAUCUUGCGCAAUGGGCGAAAGCCUGACGCAGCCAUGCCGCGUGAAUGAUGAAGGUCUUAGGAUUGUAAAAUUCUUUCACCGGGGACGAUAAUGACGGUACCCGGAGAAGAAGCCCCGGCCAACUUCGUGCCAGCAGCCGCGGUAAUACGAAGGGGGCUAGCGUUGCUCGGAAUUACUGGGCGUAAAGGGCGCGUAGGCGGAUAUUUAAGUCGGGGGUGAAAGCCCGGGGCUCAACCUCGGAAUUGCCUUCGAUACUGGAUAUCUUGAGUUCGGGAGAGGUGAGUGGAAUGCCGAGUGUAGAGGUGAAAUUCGUAGAUAUUCGGCGGAACACCAGUGGCGAAGGCGACUCACUGGCCCGAUACUGACGCUGAGGCGCGAAAGCGUGGGGAGCAAAC
rnacentral:rRNA from 1 species